CAAGCGAACAAGUGCAUGUGGUGGAUGCCUUGGCGAUCACAGGCGAUGAAGGACGCGGUAGCCUGCGAAAAGCUACGGGGAGCUGGCAAACGAGCUUUGAUCCGUAGAUGUCCGAAUGGGGAAACCCGGCCCUUUUGGGUCAUCCUAGACUGAAUACAUAGGUCUAGUGAAGCGAACGCGGUGAACUGAAACAUCUAAGUAACCGCAGGAAAAGAAAUCAACCGAGAUUCCCAAAGUAGUGGCGAGCGAAAUGGGAAGAGCCUGUACUCUUUAUUUGUAUUGUUAGCCGAACGCUCUGGAAAGUGCGGCCAUAGCAGGUGAUAGCCCUGUAGGCGAAAACAGUAUGAAAGAACUAGGUGUACGACAAGUAGGGCGGGACACGUGAAAUCCUGUCUGAAGAUGGGGGGACCAUCCUCCAAGGCUAAAUACUCGUGAUCGACCGAUAGUGAACCAGUACCGUGAGGGAAAGGCGAAAAGAACCCCGGGAGGGGAGUGAAAUAGAUCCUGAAACCGCAUGCAUACAAACAGUCGGAGCCUCUUCGGGGGUGACGGCGUACCUUUUGUAUAAUGGGUCAGCGACUUACGUUCAGUAGCAAGCUUAACCGAAUAGGGCAGGCGUAGCGAAAGCGAGUCCGAAUAGGGCGUUCAGUUGCUGGGCGUAGACCCGAAACCAGGUGAUCUAUCCAUGGCCAGGAUGAAGGUGCGGUAACACGUACUGGAGGUCCGAACCCACUAACGUUGAAAAGUUAGGGGAUGAGCUGUGGAUAGGGGUGAAAGGCUAAACAAACCUGGAAAUAGCUGGUUCUCUCCGAAAACUAUUUAGGUAGUGCCUCGUGUCUCACCUUCGGGGGUAGAGCACUGUCAUGGUUGGGGGGUCUAUUGCAGAUUACCCCGCCAUAGCAAACUCCGAAUACCGAAGAGUGCAAUCACGGGAGACAGACAUCGGGUGCUAACGUCCGGUGUCAAGAGGGAAACAACCCAGACCGCCAGCUAAGGUCCCCAAAUAUGGCUAAGUGGGAAACGAAGUGGGAAGGCUAAAACAGUCAGGAGGUUGGCUUAGAAGCAGCCACCCUUUAAAGAAAGCGUAAUAGCUCACUGAUCGAGUCGUCCUGCGCGGAAGAUGUAACGGGGCUAAGCCAUAUACCGAAGCUGCGGAUGCGAGCUAGUCUCGCAUGGUAGGAGAGCGUUCCGUAAGCCUGCGAAGGUGCGUUGAAAAGCGUGCUGGAGGUAUCGGAAGUGCGAAUGCUGACAUGAGUAGCGAUAAAGGGGGUGAAAGGCCCCCUCGCCGUAAGCCCAAGGUUUCCUACGCAACGUUCAUCGGCGUAGGGUGAGUCGGCCCCUAAGGCGAGGCAGAAAUGCGUAGCUGAUGGGAAGCAGGUCAAUAUUCCUGCACCGUCGUUAGAUGCGAUGGGGGGACGGAUCGCGGAAGGUUGUCCGGGUGUUGGAAGUCCCGGUCGCUGCAUUGGAGAAGGCGCUUAGGCAAAUCCGGGCGCAGGAUUCAAGGGUGUGGCGCGAGCGCUCUAGGGCGCGAAGCAAUUGGAAGUGGUUCCAAGAAAAGCCUCUAAGCUUCAGUCUAACGAUGACCGUACCGCAAACCGACACAGGUGGGCGAGAUGAGUAUUCUAAGGCGCUUGAGAGAACUCGGGAGAAGGAACUCGGCAAAUUGGUACCGUAACUUCGGGAUAAGGUACGCCCUGGUAGCUUGACUGGCCUGCGCCAGAAGGGUGAAGGGGUUGCAAUAAACUGGUGGCUGCGACUGUUUAAUAAAAACACAGCACUCUGCAAACACGAAAGUGGACGUAUAGGGUGUGACGCCUGCCCGGUGCCGGAAGAUUAAAUGAUGGGGUGCAAGCUCUUGAUUGAAGUCCCGGUAAACGGCGGCCGUAACUAUAACGGUCCUAAGGUAGCGAAAUUCCUUGUCGGGUAAGUUCCGACCUGCACGAAUGGCGUAACGAUGGCCACACUGUCUCCUCCCGAGACUCAGCGAAGUUGAAGUGUUUGUGAUGAUGCAAUCUACCCGCGGCUAGACGGAAAGACCCCAUGAACCUUUACUGUAGCUUUGCAUUGGACUUUGAACCGAUCUGUGUAGGAUAGGUGGGAGGCUAUGAAACCGGAACGCUAGUUUCGGUGGAGCCGUCCUUGAAAUACCACCCUGGUUUGUUUGAGGUUCUAACCUUGGCCCGUGAUCCGGGUCGGGGACAGUGCAUGGUAGGCAGUUUGACUGGGGCGGUCUCCUCCCAAAGCGUAACGGAGGAGUACGAAGGUACGCUAGGUACGGUCGGAAAUCGUGCUGAUAGUGCAAUGGCAUAAGCGUGCUUAACUGCGAGACCGACAAGUCGAGCAGGUGCGAAAGCAGGUCAUAGUGAUCCGGUGGUUCUGUAUGGAAGGGCCAUCGCUCAACGGAUAAAAGGUACUCUGGGGAUAACAGGCUGAUACCGCCCAAGAGUUCAUAUCGACGGCGGUGUUUGGCACCUCGAUGUCGGCUCAUCUCAUCCUGGGGCUGUAGCCGGUCCCAAGGGUAUGGCUGUUCGCCAUUUAAAGAGGUACGUGAGCUGGGUUUAAAACGUCGUGAGACAGUUUGGUCCCUAUCUGCCGUGGGCGUUGGAAGUUUGAAGGGGGCUGCUCCUAGUACGAGAGGACCGGAGUGGACGAACCUCUGGUGUACCGGUUGUGACGCCAGUCGCAUCGCCGGGUAGCUAUGUUCGGAAGAGAUAACCGCUGAAAGCAUCUAAGCGGGAAACUCGCCUUAAGAUGAGACUUCCCCGGGGACUUGAUCCCCUUGAAGGGUCGUUCGAGACCAGGACGUUGAUAGGUCGGGUGUGUAAGCGCAGUAAUGCGUUCAGCUAACCGAUACUAAUUGCCCGUACGGCUUGAUCC
rnacentral:rRNA from 2 species